UACGUAGGGGGCUAGCGUUGUCCGGAAUCAUUGGGCGUAAAGCGCGUGUAGGCGGCCCUGCAAGUCGGGUGUGAAAUCCCACGGCUCAACCGUGGAAGUGCACUCGAAACUGCAGGGCUAGAGUCCUGGAGAGGAAGGUGGAAUGCUUGGUGUAGAGGUGAAAUUCGUGAGAUAUCAAGCGGAACACCGGUGGCGAAGGCGGCCU
rnacentral:rRNA from 1 species